rnacentral:rRNA from 1 species
UACGUAGGGUGCAAGCGUUGUCCGGAAUUAUUGGGCGUAAAGAGUUCGUAGGCGGUUUGUCGCGUCGAAUGUGAAAACCCGGGGCUCAACCCCGGGCCUGCAUUCGAUACGGGCAGACUAGAGUUCGGUAGGGGAGUCUGGAAUUCCUGGUGUAGCGGUGAAAUGCGCAGAUAUCAGGAGGAACACCGGUGGCGAAGGCGGUUCUCUGGGCCGUACCUGACGCUGAGGAGCGAAAGCGUGGGGAGCAAACAGG